UACGUAGGGUGCAAGCGUUGUCCGGAAUUAUUGGGCGUAAAGAGCGUGUAGGCGGCUUGGUAGGUCCGCUGUGAAAACUCGAGGCUCAACCUCGAGAUGUCGGCGGAAACCACUUGGCUAGAGUCCGGAAGAGGAGAGUGGAAUUCCUGGUGUAGCGGUGAAAUGCGCAGAUAUCAGGAGGAACACCGGUGGCGAAGGCGGGUCUCUGGGCCGAUACUGACGCUGAGGAGCGAAAGCGAGGGGAGCAAACAGG
rnacentral:rRNA from 1 species